rnacentral:rRNA from 1 species
GACGUAGGGCGCGAGCGUUGUCCGGAUUUAUUGGGCGUAAAGAGCUCGUAGGCGGCUCAUUGCGUCAACCGUGAAAACCAGCAGCUCAACUGUUGGCUUGCGGUUGAUACGGGUGGGCUGGAGUUCGGUAGGGGAGACUGGAAUUCCUGGUGUAGCGGUGAAAUGCGCAGAUAUCAGGAGGAACACCAAUGGCGAAGGCAGCUCGCUGGGACGUGACUGACGCUGAGACGCGAAAGCGUGGGGAGCAAACAGG